rnacentral:hammerhead_ribozyme from 1 species
ACUUGGCUGACGAGUCCCAAAUAGAACGAAACGCGCAUCCUGGAU